rnacentral:piRNA from 2 species
UCAUUUUACAAAUGAGGAACUAGGCUCAGGG